AUAUUACUCCCUUCGUCCUAAAUUUUUUGUCUUAGAUUUGUUUAGAUAUAAAUGUAUCUAGUUACGUUUUAGUAUUUUGAUACAUCUAUUUUUAGACAAACCUAAGACAAGAAUUUUGAGACGAAGGGAGUAGUAA
rfam:Hordeum vulgare subsp. vulgare, WGS project CAJW01000000 data, contig: morex_contig_1558922